CUAAUAGAUUUAGAUAGAUGACUGUCUGACUUACCAUCUCAUAAUUCAACCAGUGUUCAGCCUGGAAGACUUAUUCAAUGCUGUUCUCUGCUAGGCAGGAUCUACUCCCUAACUAGGGACAGCUGAUCUCAGAGCCAACUUACCUCAUUCCUGUUACCUGGACUUCCUUCUGUUCAUUCAAGGUUCUGUGAAUCACAUCUUCUCUCUACCACCCAGCCAACAACAGCUGCCCAACACCACCUCCACCCCACCCCCACCGCAGACAUGAACAUCAGCUGGGCUUGCUCCUCAUCUCCCACUCGGACAGCCUGAUCAUCUCUAACGCAGUUCUUUUAGCAGAAGGAGAAAAAUGGACCUGGUAUGUGAUGGUGCAUGUCCACGGCCCCGGCACUCCAGAAGUUCGAAGCCCCACUCAGGUCCUAUGGCUUCUCAGAGAUUCAGGUACAAUGGAAAUAUAAAUCAACAACCUCUCAGCACUACACUCGGGAUGAGAGGAUAGAGAAGAUCACAUGAUGUCCUGGAAUUCUGCCUGGCUGUCUGACAUACAGCAGAACCUCAAUAAAUGUUUUUUUUCUCUCU